UAGUUUUGUCUUAACUAACGUCCAUGGUAAGUAAGGGUUCCUACAGUUAGGAUGGCUCUUGUACCAGCUCUAUGGGGACCCCGACUCUUAAGUCGUGAUCAUCGAAUGCACGUGCACAGUGAUCCCAGAGGUCAGUGCUAACCGAACACACACAAACAGAAUAACAAGAGUCUUACAUCCAUUAUGUACCGUUUUACUUGAAUAUGGCUUUCAUGGCCAAGUGUACAUAUAUUUGCACCAGAAAAUCUUCAACGAUAGCGUGAACCCAUGCCAUCUGCCUUAACCCUACAUGCAUUCUGACUGGGAAGCAUCCUAGCUCGCACGAAUGUCACCAAGGUACUCCUCAUCAUAUCAUGUUCUCUCAUGACUACUCAAUGAAUAACCAGUGGCAAGCCAAUGAGUACUUUGAAUUUACUUAUAAGCAACCCAUGUUUGGAACAAGGCAAUAACAAUGCAUGAUAUAGCACGAAUAGGCAAAUUACGGAAAGCAGAUGUUGAAGUGGAACGACACAUGAUCAAUUUGUUCCAAGGGAAUGCAUCAUGAGGUAACCGAUAUCCAUAUGAACAGUCUACAUAUAUCAAUUAAAACGCAGGGUUGAACAUACCAUAUUCACCCAGCAUGCCAAGUCAUCUAACUUAGCUCAUGUACCAUCAUUUUCACACACCACACACACAGUUUGGUAAACAUGGACGUAGCCCAAGAGCGGUCAUCCAAUUGUCCUUAAUAGUGGACACGGCUAUUCGAAUAGUUUUAAACUCUCCAGAGGUUGCACACUGUACCCACAAGACUCGGGGAACUUCCGUGUCAUCCACAACUCGCGGUACAUAACGUACCCGAGGUAAGCACCCGAACAAUGCCUUUCCACUCGAAACACUAAACAAAGAGUAAACUUGUUAGUGCCACCCAUCAUGAUGUACAUCAUACGAUCCUCGCUCUAGAUCAUACCAUCCAUGAGGGCACACAACGAUGAGCCCGGCGUGUGUGAAAAAACCUCAUGGUUGCCCUACAUGGCACAACCCCGUCUCGAGAGGCUAACUCUAGCCCUCUCACCACUAGUAACGCGGCAACUCUGCUAGCAUCCACCAAGAAAGUCAACAAAGCACCAUCUUAUAAAAGGGGUAUCAUGGUCCCACAUGUAAGAUUGGAGUAAUAGUCCCAACUUCUUUCUUAGGUGGUUACCUAUCUCAACACCAUCUCCCUCGGGCAUUAGUAGCACCCGAUGGGGUUUUCGAAAAAGUCUUUGAAAUCAUUUCCUUUUCCCAUCUCCAUGCAUAUUCCCGUUCCAAUUCGCGCAGCAGCUACAAGCAUCCUAUCUACUUCCCACCCGCUCAAACCUCAUAGGAAGGUAGGGUCAUGCUCAGUGCAAGUAUCAUUGAACAGUUAUAGGAGACAACCCAUCAAGGUCGUCAUCGACUCAACAUGACUCAAAUGCAACGAAGUAAAGUGCCAUAUGACAUGCAUAAAUGAUUUCAAGUCAUGGUCAAGGGGCUGCUUGCGUGGCUCAACAAAGUCUUCGAGGUCUUCAUAGCUUCUUGUCCAACUCCGAGCACUUCGUCUACUUCGUCAACUAUCGUUGGAAACACCCACAAUAAGCAACACAACAAGCAGAAAACCAAAGUUCUCUACAAAUAGGAGUUCUAUUUUUUGGACAUCUCUGGUCAUAAGAAAAAUACGUAAAGUUUGUUCUAAGGGAUUUGGAUUACUAGAGAUUUUUGAACGGUGGAAAUGGAGGAAUUUAUGAUCUUAUAAGAAGUCUAUAGAGAGCAUUUUUAUAAAAAAAAUGAGUGGAUGUGUCUAUCAAUUAGGAGAUAAAUUUAGGAUAAAUUUGGAGGUGUUUUCACUGGAUUUGGAGUUGGGCUAUUUUCCUUGUGAUUUUUCUAAUGUGGAAACUAUGAAAAAGGGAGCCAUUUAUCUGUCCUAGGAGAAACAAUACAUGAGAAAAAUGUUCACUAAGGCUAGAAAGAUAGUGCAUGAUUUGUAUAGUCUCUGGAAAUUUGAAUCACUCCAUUUGGAGUUGAUAUGGACCCUCUAGGAAUUUUUGCAAGGUGGAGUAUGAAUAAUUUCAAUUCAAAUUUGAAUUUGAACACUACAAAAAAAUAUUUCUGGAAAAAUGUACAUUGCACAUAUUUGGAUAGGCUAUAAUUUUAUGAACAUCUAGGAUUUUUUAUUAUCAAAUUUGGAGUAGACAUAAAUUUUAUAUGGAUUUUUGAUUCUGCUAGAGAGAAAAAAGAAAAAAGGGAGAGAAUUACCAAGGUAACAGGGCUAACCAACGCCCUAGGCGUAGAAUAGUCAAUCGGCUGGGCGAGUGACCCAGUCGGGCAGGGAAAGUGGCGACGCGGGUGAGGUAUUUGCGGGAAUACGCUUCCGGCA
rnacentral:lncRNA from 1 species